CAUGCAAGUCGAGCGAACGGACGAGAAGCUUGCUUCUCUGAUGUUAGCGGCGGACGGGUGAGUAACACGUGGAUAACCUACCUAUAAGACUGGGAUAACUUCGGGAAACCGGAGCUAAUACCGGAUAAUAUUUUGAACCGCAUGGUUCAAAAGUGAAAGACGGUCUUGCUGUCACUUAUAGAUGGAUCCGCGCUGCAUUAGCUAGUUGGUAAGGUAACGGCUUACCAAGGCAACGAUGCAUAGCCGACCUGAGAGGGUGAUCGGCCACACUGGAACUGAGACACGGUCCAGACUCCUACGGGAGGCAGCAGUAGGGAAUCUUCCGCAAUGGGCGAAAGCCUGACGGAGCAACGCCGCGUGAGUGAUGAAGGUCUUCGGAUCGUAAAACUCUGUUAUUAGGGAAGAACAUAUGUGUAAGUAACUGUGCACAUCUUGACGGUACCUAAUCAGAAAGCCACGGCUAACUACGUGCCAGCAGCCGCGGUAAUACGUAGGUGGCAAGCGUUAUCCGGAAUUAUUGGGCGUAAAGCGCGCGUAGGCGGUUUUUUAAGUCUGAUGUGAAAGCCCACGGCUCAACCGUGGAGGGUCAUUGGAAACUGGAAAACUUGAGUGCAGAAGAGGAAAGUGGAAUUCCAUGUGUAGCGGUGAAAUGCGCAGAGAUAUGGAGGAACACCAGUGGCGAAGGCGACUUUCUGGUCUGUAACUGACGCUGAUGUGCGAAAGCGUGGGGAUCAAACAGGAUUAGAUACCCUGGUAGUCCACGCCGUAAACGAUGAGUGCUAAGUGUUAGGGGGUUUCCGCCCCUUAGUGCUGCAGCUAACGCAUUAAGCACUCCGCCUGGGGAGUACGACCGCAAGGUUGAAACUCAAAGGAAUUGACGGC
rnacentral:rRNA from 1 species